GAUGAACGCUGGCGGCGUGCCUAAUACAUGCAAGUCGAGCGAACAGACGAGAAGCUUGCUCCUCUGACGUUAGCGGCGGACGGGUGAGUAACACGUGGAUAACCUACCUAUAAGACUGGGAUAACUUCGGGAAACCGGAGCUAAUACCGGAUAAUAUAUUGAACCGCAUGGUUCAAUAGUGAAAGACGGUUUUGCUGUCACUUAUAGAUGGAUCCGCGCCGCAUUAGCUAGUUGGUAAGGUAACGGCUUACCAAGGCAACGAUGCGUAGCCGACCUGAGAGGGUGAUCGGCCACACUGGAACUGAGACACGGUCCAGACUCCUACGGGAGGCAGCAGUAGGGAAUCUUCCGCAAUGGGCGAAAGCUUGACGGAGCAACGCCGCGUGAGUGAUGAAGGUCUUCGGAUCGUAAAACUCUGUUAUUAGGGAAGAACAACUGUGUAAGUAACUAUGCACGUCUUGACGGUACCUAAUCAGAAAGCCACGGCUAACUACGUG
rnacentral:rRNA from 1 species